GAUGAACGCUGGCGGCGUGCCUAAUACAUGCAAGUCGAGCGAACAGACGAGGAGCUUGCUCCUCUGACGUUAGCGGCGGACGGGUGAGUAACACGUGGAUAACCUACCUAUAAGACUGGGAUAACUUCGGGAAACCGGAGCUAAUACCGGAUAAUAUAUUGAACCGCAUGGUUCAAUAGUGAAAGACGGUUUUGCUGUCACUUAUAGAUGGAUCCGCGCCGCAUUAGCUAGUUGGUAAGGUAACGGCUUACCAAGGCAACGAUGCGUAGCCGACCUGAGAGGGUGAUCGGCCACACUAGAACUGAGACACGGUCCAGACUCCUACGGGAGGCAGCAGUAGGGAAUCUUCCGCAAUGGGCGAAAGCCUGACGGAGCAACGCCGCGUGAGUGAUGAAGGUCUUCGGAUCGUAGAACUCUGUUAUUAGGGAAGAACAAAUGUGUAAGUAACUAUGCACGUCUUGACGGUACCUAAUCAGAAAGCCACGGCUAACUACGUG
rnacentral:rRNA from 1 species